rnacentral:rRNA from 1 species
GNACNUCUUUAUACUGUGAAACUGCGUACNGCUCAUUAUAUCAGUAAUAAUUUAUUUGAUGGUACUUCACUACGCGGACACCUGUAAAAAAGCUAGAGCUAAUACGUGCGUAAAGUCCCGACUGGGGGGUUUGGGGGUUCGGCCUCUCUCUCACCCGGAAGGGAUGUGCUUAUGAGAUAUAAAAAAAAUGUGUUCGGGCUUCGGGUCGGGCGGGUUUGUGUGGAUUCUUAAAAUUUUAUCCUAUCACAUGUCCUCUGUGCGGGCGAGACAUCACUCACAUUUCUGCCCUAUCUCCUUUCAACGGUAGUGUAUUGGACUACCGUGGCGUCUACGGGUAACGGGGAAUAUAUAUGGGUCGNCGACGAUUCAUUCGAAUUUCUGCCCCAUCAACUCUCGAUGGUAGGAUAGAGGCCUACCAUGGUCGCAACGGGUAACGGGG